UGCCUUGGUGUCCUAAAUCAGUUUAAAACUUACUUUUCAUGGUUGUUUUGAUUUGCAGGAAGAGCCAGAAGUCAUGGUGAUAGAUCAGAGGAGUAAGGUGGACGAGGACGCGCCACGUGGAUAGAAAGUGCAGUAAACAGUGUGCUUGGAGAGCUCUGCAAAUCCUUUGAGGUGCUGCAAACUUGGUUGAGAUUUUUUCAGGCUUGGCAUUGGGCAGCCUCACAUCUUUCUUCUCUCGGAUCUGCUUCUCGCCUAUGUUUCAAGUUCCACCUGUUGAAUAAGCUCAAGCAAAGGUAUACAUUUUAGAUUUGUUAUUGCAGUAAUACAAAGUACUGUUUUGAUUUUUGAAGUGU
rnacentral:lncRNA from 1 species